rnacentral:ncRNA from 2 species
ACUUUAUCAACCGGAAAAGGUUUUCCCGUCAGCCGACGGGGAAUUAAAAGGGAACCGUGUGUAAAUCACGGGCUGUCGCGCAACUGUAAAUAACACAAAAAGUUUUAGCCAGCAAUGUCCACUGAUCGCCAACCGACGAUUGGGAAGGACGGCUGAAAUGUUAUAAGUCAGGAUACCUGCCUGUUCUGGAAGGACAAU